CUGUAGCUCUUCAUCUCUCUGUUGUAACGUCACACAGACUGACAGCAACUCUGGUCUCAUUUAGCUCAGAACACAAUAAUGAUCACAGCUGGUCUGAUCAAACUCUCUGCAGCUCUGCUCUGGAUUGUAGGUCUAACUGAUGGGAGUGAUGUCACCCAGACCCCUCUGGUGUGGAGGACCGAGGGUCAGUCGACCACAAUGAACUGCAGUCACACUAAAGACAUCACAUAUCGACAGAUGUACUGGUACAGACAGCUACCAGGGGAGGGAAUGAAGCAAAUAGUUUACACGACUCCAUCUCCCCCACAUCAAUACGAGAGCGGCUUCACUGAGGACAGAUAUCCAGCAAAGAAGAGCGACGCUCAGACUGGAUCUUUGACAGUGGAGAGGCUGCUGCCUGAGGACAGUGGAGUGUAUUUCUGUGCUGUGAGUCAACACAGUGAUGCAGGCGCCUCAGACAGCUGUACAAAUACUCAUGUGAAUAGAAGAUAACUGUCUCUUUGGUGGACUACAGAGGGAGCUCUAGACUAACACUGAUACUGAUAUGCUACAACAGCACUUACAUAUUUUUGAUAGCAUUCAUAUUAUGUGUGGUAUUAGUGGCUGUUUCAA